rnacentral:rRNA from 1 species
AUUUAAUAUAUUAUUUAUUUUAUAGUUGAUUUUAAAUUGUUAAAAGUAGUUCAUUUUUUAUUAUUAAUUUAGAAGAAAUUUUAUUUAUUAUAGUGUAUUAGUACCGUGAGGGGAUUAUUUUAAAUAUUAAAAAGAAGGGUUAAAUUCCGUACCUUGUGCAUCAGGGUUGAUUAAAUAGAAGGUUGCAAUAAGCUUUUCUCGAAAUUAAAAGAGUUAAUUGAUUAUUUAUUUUAAUGUGAAAUAAUUAUUUAUAAUAUUCAAUUAGAUGUGAAAUGUUAUUCGUUUUUAAUUAUAUCUAGUUUCUUAAGAAAAAAGUUCAAUUUUAUAUUUAAUAUAAAAUAUUCUAUGUUUUUAGUUUAUUUUUAUUAAAUUGUUAUUUUUAAAGGGAUAAGCUUUUUAAAAAAGUACUAUAAUUAGUUAUCUUAAGAAUAAAUCAUAGGAUUAAAAUUUUUCAUUGAUAAUAUUAUGUUAUAGUUGAUUAUUCUAUAUAUUUUAUUUUUAUUUUAUUUAGGUUUUUUAUUAGGAUUUUGUAUUUAAUUUUAUUUUAUAAUUAAUAAUGAUUAAAUUAGUAUAGAUUUUUGUUUAUUUAAUUUUUUUUAGUAAGGUAAGUGUAAGGAACUCGGCAAAAAUACUUUUCACCUGUUUAUUAAAAACAUGUCCUUUUGAUUAUAAUUUAAGGUCUAACCUGCCCACUGAGUUUUAAAUGGCCGCGGUAUUAUGACCGUGCAAAGGUAGCAUAAUCAUUAGUUUUUUAAUUGGAAGCUGGAAUGAAUGGUUGGAUGAGAAAGUGACUGUCUCAUACUUAUUUUUAUAGAAAUUUAUCUUUAAGUUAAAAAGCUUAAAUAUUAUUAAAAGACGAGAAGACCCUAUAGAAUUUAUAUAUAUUUUAUUUUAUUUGUUAUUGGGUUUAAGUUACUUUUAAUUUGUAUUUAUAUUUUGUUGGGGUGACAGGAAAAUUGAUUUAACUUUUUCUUUAUUUUUUCACUAAUGAGUGUUUUAUUGAUCCGGAUAUUUCUGAUUAUAAGAAUAAAUUACCUUAGGGAUAACAGCGUAAUUUCCUUAGAGAGUUCUAAUCGAAAGGGAAGAUUGCGACCUCGAUGUUGGAUUAAAGUUAAUUUUCGGUGCAGAAGCUGAAAUAUUAGGUCUGUUCGACCUUUGAAACUUUACAUGAUCUGAGUUUAAACCGGCGUGAGCCAGGUUGGUUUCUAUCUUUAAUUGAUUAAAAUGUUUUAGUACGAAAGGACCAAGCAUUUGAUUAAUAAUUUGGUAUUUGAAUACUAUU